rnacentral:rRNA from 1 species
UACGAGGGGGGCGAGCGUUGUUCGGAAUUAUUGGGCGUAAAGGGUGCGUAGGCGGUUUGGUAAGUCUUAUGUGAAAUCUACAGGCUCAACUUGUAGUCUGCAUGAGAAACUGCCGGGCUUGAGUAUGGGAGAGGUGAGUGGAAUUCCUGGUGUAGCAGUGAAAUGCGUAGAUAUCAGGAGGAACACCUGUGGCGAAAGCGGCUCACUGGACCAUAACUGACGCUGAUGCACGAAAGCUAGGGGAGCAAACAGG